GACGAACGCUGGCGGCGUGCUUAACACAUGCAAGUCGAACGGAAAGGCCCUGCUUUUGUGGGGUGCUCGAGUGGCGAACGGGUGAGUAACACGUGAGUAACCUGCCCUUGACUUUGGGAUAACUUCAGGAAACUGGGGCUAAUACCGGAUAGGAGCUCCUGCUGCAUGGUGGGGGUUGGAAAGUUUCGGCGGUUGGGGAUGGACUCGCGGCUUAUCAGCUUGUUGGUGGGGUAGUGGCUUACCAAGGCUUUGACGGGUAGCCGGCCUGAGAGGGUGACCGGCGACAUUGGGACUGAGAUACGGCCCAGACUCCUACGGGAGGCAGCGGUGGGGAAUAUUGCACAGUGGGCGGAAGCCUGAUGCAGCAACGCCGCGUGCGGGAUGACGGCCUUCGGGUUGUAAACCGCUUUCGCCUGUGACGAAGCGUGAGUGACGGUAAUGGGUAAAGAAGCACCGGCUAACUACGUG
rnacentral:rRNA from 1 species